AACGUAGGAGACAAACGUUAUCCGGAGUUACUGGGCGUAAAGGGCGUGCAGGCGGUCUGUUAAGUUCGUUGUGAAAGCCCCGGGCUCAACCUGGGAAUGGCAAUGGAAACUGGCGGGCUGGAGUAUGGCAGAGGGGGGUGGAAUUCCGCGUGUAGCAGUGAAAUGCGUAGAGAUGCGGAGGAACACCGAUGGCGAAGGCAGCCCCCUGGGCCAAUACUGACGCUCAUGCACGAAAGCGUGGGGAGCAAACAGG
rnacentral:rRNA from 1 species